UAAGCUCCUGUCCCAAGGGGGGAAAGCUGCCAUAUGCGGCAAGUACCUCUUCAAUUGGGCAGUGAGAACA
rfam:Hepacivirus C isolate P20_Baseline_Nigeria polyprotein (POLY) gene, complete cds; and protein F-like (POLY) gene, complete sequence